rnacentral:rRNA from 1 species
GACGAACGCUGGCGGCGUGCCUAAUACAUGCAAGUCGAGCGCAGGAAAUCGACGGAACCCUUCGGGGGGAAGUCGACGGAAUGAGCGGCGGACGGGUGAGUAACACGUAAAGAACCUGCCCUCAGGUCUGGGAUAACCACGAGAAGUCGGGGCUAAUACCGGAUGGGUCAUCGGACCGCAUGGUCCGAGGAUGAAAGGCGCUUCGGCGUCGCCUGGGGAUGGCUUUGCGGUGCAUUAGCUAGUUGGUGGGUGAAUGGCCCACCAAGGCGACGAUGCAUAGCCGACCUGAGAGGGUGAGCGGCCAACCUGGGACUGAGACACGGCCCAGACUCCUACGGGAGGCAGCAGUAGGGAAUCUUCCACAAUGGACGAAAGUCUGAUGGAGCAACGCCGCGUGAACGAUGAAGGCCUUCGGGUCGUAAAGUUCUGUUGUAAGGGAAGAACAAGUGCCGCAGGCAAUGGCGGCACCUUGACGGUACCUUGCGAGAAAGCCACGGCUAACUACGUGCCAGCUGCCGCGGUAACAC